UGUUAAGAUGCGGAGGUUGCACCGGAAAGAAGUGGCGUCUCCUGCCUCCGUUCCUCUUGUCUUGGCGGCGACAGCGAGGCGCUUCGCUUGAGCUCUUCCCGAUCGCCUUGCCUGUUUGCCUUCUUCCUGUCCUGAGAUCUCUCACAGUGUUGGCGGUGGGGACAAGAGGUUAGUUUCAUGAAGCUGCCAGAACAGUUGUCAUUUUAAAUUGAGCUGAAAAAUUCGAUCAACGGAGCAUUGUGCUCCUUGUUAUGGCUGUUGCCCCGGGCAACAACA